CAGUAGCCGCGGUAAUACGUAGGUGGCAAGCGUUGUCCGGAAUUAUUGGGCGUAAAGGGCUCGCAGGCGGUUUCUUAAGUCUGAUGUGAAAGCCCCCGGCUCAACCGGGGAGGGUCAUUGGAAACUGGGAAACUUGAGUGCAGAAGAGGAGAGUGGAAUUCCACGUGUAGCGGUGAAAUGCGUAGAGAUGUGGAGAAACACCAGUGGCGAAGGCGACUCUCUGGUCUGUAACUGACGCUGAGGAGCGAAAGCGUGGGGAGCGAACAGGAUUAGAUACCCCAGUAGUCCCUGUCUCUUAUAC
rnacentral:rRNA from 1 species